rnacentral:rRNA from 1 species
GACGAACGCUGGCGGCGUGCCUAAUACAUGCAAGUUGAGCGCUGAAGGUUGGUACUUGUACCAACUGGAUGAGCAGCGAACGGGUGAGUAACGCGUGGGGAAUCUGCCUUUGAGCGGGGGACAACAUUUGGAAACGAAUGCUAAUACCGCAUAAAAACUUUAAACACAAGUUUUAAGUUUGAAAGAUGCAAUUGCAUCACUCAAAGAUGAUCCCGCGUUGUAUUAGCUAGUUGGUGAGGUAAAGGCUCACCAAGGCGAUGAUACAUAGCCGACCUGAGAGGGUGAUCGGCCACAUUGGAACUGAGACACGGCCCAAACUCCUACGGGAGGCAGCAGUAGGGACUCUUCGGCAAUGGACGAAAGUCUGACCGAGCAACGCCGCGUGAGUGAAGAAGGUUUUCGGAUCGUAAAACUCUGUUGGUAGAGAAGAACGUUGGUGAGAGUGGAAAGCUCAUCAAGUGACGGUAACUACCCAGAAAGGGACGGCUAACUACG